UACGUAGGGGGCAAGCGUUAUCCGGAUUUACUGGGUGUAAAGGGAGCGUAGACGGUACGCCAAGUCUGAAGUGAAAUGCCGCAGCUUAACUGCGGAACUGCUUUGGAAACUGGCGGGCUAGAGUGCGGGAGGGGUAAGCGGAAUUCCUAGUGUAGCGGUGAAAUGCGUAGAUAUAUGGAAGAACACCAGUGGCGAAAGCGGCUCUCUGGUCUGUAACUGACGCUGAGGUUCGAAAGCGUGGGUAGCAAACAGG
rnacentral:rRNA from 1 species